AAUCUCUCUUUCUGGAGGCAGAUUCCAGAGCCGUUUAAGGGAAAUUCGUAGUCGAGCUACCGAUGUUCAUGAUAAGGAAAAGGGAAUCAAGAUUACUGAGAAGGAUUGGGAAAAGUUGAAUGUACAAUUGCUUCAUACAACAAUUUUCCUACUGCUGCUGGAUUGGCUUCCUCAGCAGCUGGUUUUGCAUGUCUUGGUAACGGAUAAUACCCUAUUUUGGAUCAUAUUAUUGUUAAUUUGUUAUAUGAUUAGUGCCUUAACUUUGAGAACUCAUGACUGUGUUAAUAAUGUUACUUGGGUACUGGAUUAA
rnacentral:lncRNA from 1 species